rnacentral:rRNA from 1 species
GGGUUGUGAGGUUAAGCGACUAAGCGUACACGGUGGAUGCCCUGGCAGUCAGAGGCGAUGAAGGACGUGCUAAUCUGCGAUAAGCGUCGGUAAGGUGAUAUGAACCGUUAUAACCGGCGAUUUCCGAAUGGGGAAACCCAGUGUGAUUCGUCACACUAUCAUUAACUGAAUCCAUAGGUUAAUGAGGCGAACCGGGGGAACUGAAACAUCUAAGUACCCCGAGGAAAAGAAAUCAACCGAGAUUCCCCCAGUAGCGGCGAGCGAACGGGGAGGAGCCCAGAGCCUGAAUCAGUGUGUGUGUUAGUGGAAGCGUCUGGAAAGGCGCGCGAUACAGGGUGACAGCCCCGUACACAAAAAUGCACAUGCUGUGAGCUCGAUGAGUAGGGCGGGACACGUGGUAUCCUGUCUGAAUAUGGGGGGACCAUCCUCCAAGGCUAAAUACUCCUGACUGACCGAUAGUGAACCAGUACCGUGAGGGAAAGGCGAAAAGAACCCCGGCGAGGGGAGUGAAAAAGAACCUGAAACCGUGUACGUACAAGCAGUGGGAGCACGCUUAGGCGUGUGACUGCGUACCUUUUGUAUAAUGGGUCAGCGACUUAUAUUCUGUAGCAAGGUUAACCGAAUAGGGGAGCCGAAGGGAAACCGAGUCUUAACUGGGCGUUAAGUUGCAGGGUAUAGACCCGAAACCCGGUGAUCUAGCCAUGGGCAGGUUGAAGGUUGGGUAACACUAACUGGAGGACCGAACCGACUAAUGUUGAAAAAUUAGCGGAUGACUUGUGGCUGGGGGUGAAAGGCCAAUCAAACCGGGAGAUAGCUGGUUCUCCCCGAAAGCUAUUUAGGUAGCGCCUCGUGAAUUCAUCUCCGGGGGUAGAGCACUGUUUCGGCAAGGGGGUCAUCCCGACUUACCAACCCGAUGCAAACUGCGAAUACCGGAGAAUGUUAUCACGGGAGACACACGGCGGGUGCUAACGUCCGUCGUGAAGAGGGAAACAACCCAGACCGCCAGCUAAGGUCCCAAAGUCAUGGUUAAGUGGGAAACGAUGUGGGAAGGCCCAGACAGCCAGGAUGUUGGCUUAGAAGCAGCCAUCAUUUAAAGAAAGCGUAAUAGCUCACUGGUCGAGUCGGCCUGCGCGGAAGAUGUAACGGGGCUAAACCAUGCACCGAAGCUGCGGCAGCGACACUAUGUGUUGUUGGGUAGGGGAGCGUUCUGUAAGCCUGUGAAGGUGUGCUGUGAGGCAUGCUGGAGGUAUCAGAAGUGCGAAUGCUGACAUAAGUAACGAUAAAGCGGGUGAAAAGCCCGCUCGCCGGAAGACCAAGGGUUCCUGUCCAACGUUAAUCGGGGCAGGGUGAGUCGACCCCUAAGGCGAGGCCGAAAGGCGUAGUCGAUGGGAAACAGGUUAAUAUUCCUGUACUUGGUGUUACUGCGAAGGGGGGACGGAGAAGGCUAUGUUGGCCGGGCGACGGUUGUCCCGGUUUAAGCGUGUAGGCUGGUUUUCCAGGCAAAUCCGGAAAAUCAAGGCUGAGGCGUGAUGACGAGGCACUACGGUGCUGAAGCAACAAAUGCCCUGCUUCCAGGAAAAGCCUCUAAGCAUCAGGUAACAUCAAAUCGUACCCCAAACCGACACAGGUGGUCAGGUAGAGAAUACCAAGGCGCUUGAGAGAACUCGGGUGAAGGAACUAGGCAAAAUGGUGCCGUAACUUCGGGAGAAGGCACGCUGAUAUGUAGGUGAAGCGACUUGCUCGUGGAGCUGAAAUCAGUCGAAGAUACCAGCUGGCUGCAACUGUUUAUUAAAAACACAGCACUGUGCAAACACGAAAGUGGACGUAUACGGUGUGACGCCUGCCCGGUGCCGGAAGGUUAAUUGAUGGGGUCAGCGCAAGCGAAGCUCUUGAUCGAAGCCCCGGUAAACGGCGGCCGUAACUAUAACGGUCCUAAGGUAGCGAAAUUCCUUGUCGGGUAAGUUCCGACCUGCACGAAUGGCGUAAUGAUGGCCAGGCUGUCUCCACCCGAGACUCAGUGAAAUUGAACUCGCUGUGAAGAUGCAGUGUACCCGCGGCAAGACGGAAAGACCCCGUGAACCUUUACUAUAGCUUGACACUGAACAUUGAGCCUUGAUGUGUAGGAUAGGUGGGAGGCUUUGAAGUGUGGACGCCAGUCUGCAUGGAGCCGACCUUGAAAUACCACCCUUUAAUGUUUGAUGUUCUAACGUUGACCCGUGAUCCGGGUUGCGGACAGUGUCUGGUGGGUAGUUUGACUGGGGCGGUCUCCUCCUAAAGAGUAACGGAGGAGCACGAAGGUUGGCUAAUCCUGGUCGGACAUCAGGAGGUUAGUGCAAUGGCAUAAGCCAGCUUGACUGCGAGCGUGACGGCGCGAGCAGGUGCGAAAGCAGGUCAUAGUGAUCCGGUGGUUCUGAAUGGAAGGGCCAUCGCUCAACGGAUAAAAGGUACUCCGGGGAUAACAGGCUGAUACCGCCCAAGAGUUCAUAUCGACGGCGGUGUUUGGCACCUCGAUGUCGGCUCAUCACAUCCUGGGGCUGAAGUAGGUCCCAAGGGUAUGGCUGUUCGCCAUUUAAAGUGGUACGCGAGCUGGGUUUAGAACGUCGUGAGACAGUUCGGUCCCUAUCUGCCGUGGGCGCUGGAGAACUGAGGGGGGCUGCUCCUAGUACGAGAGGACCGGAGUGGACGCAUCACUGGUGUUCGGGUUGUCAUGCCAAUGGCACUGCCCGGUAGCUAAAUGCGGAAGAGAUAAGUGCUGAAAGCAUCUAAGCACGAAACUUGCCCCGAGAUGAGUUCUCCCUGACUCCUUGAGAGUCCUGAAGGAACGUUGAAGACGACGACGUUGAUAGGCCGGGUGUGUAAGCGCAGCGAUGCGUUGAGCUAACCGGUACUAAUGAACCGUGAGGCUUAACCUUACAACGCCGAAG